AGAGUUUGAUCAUGGCUCAGGAUGAACGCUAGCGGCAGGCUUAAUACAUGCAAGUCGAGGGGCAGCAUGGUUGUAGCAAUACAACUGAUGGCGACCGGCAAACGGGUGCGGAACACGUACGCAAUCUACCCAAAACUGAUGAAUAGCCCUCCGAAAGGAGGAUUAAUACAUCGUAACUUAAUGAAGUGGCAUCACUUUAUUAAUAUAGCUCCGGCGGUUUUGGAUGAGCGUGCGCCUGAUUAGGUAGUUGGCGGGGUAACGGCCCACCAAGCCUGCGAUCAGUAACUGGUGUGAGAGCACGACCAGUCACACGGGCACUGAGACACGGGCCCGACUCCUACGGGAGGCAGCAGUAAGGAAUAUUGGUCAAUGGACGCAAGUCUGAACCAGCCAUGCCGCGUGAAGGAUGAAGGUCCUCUGGAUUGUAAACUUCUUUUAUGUGGGACGAAACCUCUUAUUCUUAAGAGACUGACGGUACCAUAGGAAUAAGCACCGGCUAACUCCGUGCCAGCAGCCGCGGUAAUACGGAGGGUGCAAGCGUUAUCCGGAUUCACUGGGUUUAAAGGGAGCGUAGGAGGGCAGGUAAGUCAGUGGUGAAAUCUUCGAGCUUAACUCGGAAACUGCCGUUGAUACUAUCUGUCUUGAAUACCGUGGAGAUGAGCGGAAUAUCAUGUAGCGGUGAAAUGCUUAGAUAUGACAUAGAACACCAAUUGCGAAGGCAGCUCGUUACACGAAUAUUGACUCUGAGGCUCGAAAGCGUGGGGAUCAAACAGGAUUAGAUACCCUAGUAGUCC
rnacentral:rRNA from 1 species